UAAAAUACGCAAGCCUUUCUCCUGUCUAAA
rnacentral:piRNA from 1 species